rnacentral:rRNA from 1 species
AUUGAACGCUGGCGGCAUGCCUUACACAUGCAAGUCGAACGGUAACAGGUCUUCGGAUGCUGACGAGUGGCGAACGGGUGAGUAAUACAUCGGAACGUGCCCGAGAGUGGGGGAUAACGAAGCGAAAGCUUUGCUAAUACCGCAUACGAUCUCAGGAUGAAAGCAGGGGACCGCAAGGCCUUGCGCUCACGGAGCGGCCGAUGGCAGAUUAGGUAGUUGGUGGGAUAAAAGCUUACCAAGCCGACGAUCUGUAGCUGGUCUGAGAGGACGACCAGCCACACUGGGACUGAGACACGGCCCAGACUCCUACGGGAGGCAGCAGUGGGGAAUUUUGGACAAUGGGCGCAAGCCUGAUCCAGCCAUGCCGCGUGCAGGAUGAAGGCCUUCGGGUUGUAAACUGCUUUUGUACGGAGCGAAAAGACUCUGGUUAAUACCUGGGGUCCAUGACGGUACCGUAAGAAUAAGCACCGGCUAACUACGUGCCAGCCGCCGCCGUAACAC